rnacentral:tRNA from 1 species
UAGAAAAAAGCUCGCUGGAUAGAGUGCUUAGCUGUUAACUAAGAUAUUGAGGGAUCGAGGCCCCCUUUUCUAG